UACGUAGGGUGCAAGCGUUGUCCGGAAUUAUUGGGCGUAAAGGGCUCGUAGGCGGUCCAUCGCGUCGGGGAGUGAAAAGCUGGGGCUUAACCCCAGUCCUGCUUUCGAUACGGGUGGACUAGAGGUAGGCAGGGGAGACGGAAUCCUGGUGUAGCGGUGAAAUGCGCAGAUAUCAGGAGGAACGCCGGUGGCGAAGGCGGUUCUCUGGGCCUUACCUGACGCUGAGGAGCGAAAGCGUGGGGAGCAAACAGG
rnacentral:rRNA from 1 species